GACGAACGCUGGCGGCGUGCUUAACACAUGCAAGUCGAACGGAAAGGCCCCUUUGGGGGUACUCGAGUGGCGAACGGGUGCGUAACACGUGAGUAACCUGCCCUUGACUUCGGGAUAACUUCAGGAAACUGGGGCUAAUACCGGAUAGGAAUCCUUGCUGCAUGGUGGGGGUUGGAAAGCUUCGGGGGUUUUGGAUGGACUCGCGGCUUAUCAGCUUGUUGGUGGGGUAGUGGCUUACCAAGGCUUUGACGGGUAGCCGGCCUGAGAGGGCGACCGGCCACAUUGGGACUGAGAGACGGCCCAGACGCCUACGGGAGGCAGCAGUGGGGAAUAUUGCACAAUGGGCGGAAGCCUGAUGCAGCAACGCCGCGGGCGGGAUGACGGCCUUCGGGUUGUAAACCGCUUUCAGCAGGGGCGAAGCUUGUGGUGACGGUACCUGCAGAAGAAGCACCGGCUAACUACGUG
rnacentral:rRNA from 1 species